rnacentral:rRNA from 1 species
CCCUUAGAUGUUCUGGGCCGCACGCGCGCUACACUGAUGCAUUCAACGAGUCUAAAACCUGCUCUGAUAGGGGUGGGUAAUCUUUUGAAUGUGCAUCGUGAUUGGGAUAGAUGCUUGCAAUUUUUCAUCUUCAACGAGGAAUGCCUAGUAAACGCAAGUCAUCAGCUUGCAUUGAUUACGUCCCUGCCCUUUGUACACACCGCCCGUCGCUCCUACCGAUUGAAUGAUCCGAUGAAUAUCAUGGAUUGAGGAUGCAAGUAGGUUAGCCUAUCUUCAUCUUCGAGAAGUGAAGUAAAUCUUAUCAUUUAGAGGAAGGAGAAGUCGUAACA